GAUCAAUGAUGAGAACAGUCAAAUCUGAGCAUCAGAAGACUUUUCAGUUCACCUGAUGGUCUCUAUAGCUCUGGGA
rnacentral:snoRNA from 1 species